GCUUGACAUGCGCUUGCUUUGUGUUGGUAACUAAAAUAACAACACAUACCUUUACAGUGGAGCUGGAAGUUUAAUAACUGGAAGGGCUACAAUGGUCACAGCGUCCUGCCUGCAGAACACAUGGUUACCUUUCUUCCAGGAACACCUGAAUCAAGUCCAUAACCUCUAGCUGAAGGAGAUCUAUCUAUCUUUAGAAACUCGUGUGACUAACUCUCUCUCUAUAUAUAUACUGCUGUUGGCUUAUGUACACAUUCUAUUUGCUUGUGGUUUGCGAGGCAUAACCGGAUGAGUCUCAGUGUCUCUAGGAUGCAGGCUGAAGGCAAUCUCGUCCCUUCUGGGGUAUCCUGGAGGUCUUCCUCCCAGAGGAGCUGGCAGAAUACAGCCUGCCCUGGUGGCAUCCGGAGCAAACUGGCAGCACAGAGGUGCCCACAUCUGUCUCCAUCUCUGUUAGGGGAAAGUGGUAACUUGUUAGACAGUUGUUCCCAUCUGUGGCCUUAGAAAUAUGAUUACAUACAGCAAGGAAAAUAUAUUAAAUAUCAGCCACAGGCAGCUUACAAAGCACAAGAAGGAACGAGUGGCUUUUAGACAGAAGCAUAAAGCAUCACUGAGGCAUUAGCGGUGCCCUGAACCACGGAACAGCUGUUAACAGGUUUGGAAGGGCAAGCACGUUGGCAUCCAGGCUGUCAGGCAGGCAUAUAUGGAAGAAGUUAGGCAGCUGUACAGGGGAAGAAAAGUAUCCUCAUACUUCUCAUCAGUUAAGAAAUGCUUUUAUGCUGCUCUGCCACUUGCUUCCUUUUAGAAUAAAAUCUAGGGCAUAGGACAUCAACAUUCAGG
rnacentral:lncRNA from 1 species